rnacentral:rRNA from 1 species
UACGUAGGGGGCAAGCGUUGUCCGGAUUUAUUGGGCGUAAAGAGCGUGUAGGCGGCCAGACAGGUCUGCUGUGAAAACUCGAGGCUCAACCUCGAGACGCCGGUGGAAACCGUCUGGCUAGAGUCCGGAAGAGGAGAGUGGAAUUCCUGGUGUAGCGGUGAAAUGCGCAGAUAUCGGGAGGAACACCAGUGGCGAAGGCGGCCGGCUGGGGGUGACCUGACGCUGAGGCGCGAAAGCGUGGGGAGCGAACCGG